UGAAGGACUACUACUGCAGUCCUGAUAUUCAGAGACACGGAGAGAGCUAUAGUUUUUUUUUUUUUUUUAAAGUUUGGCACUAUAGUAUUAACAAUCUCUUUAUUAGAUGUAAGAGACAGGAAGCCCCAGGUGAACUGGUUACAAUUCUUUUGUCAGCUGCUUAGUAUCUAGCACCCAGGUUCUAACCAUCUCUCCAUCCUUUUGUUAUUAGUUGUUACUAGAAGCCUAGUGUCAUUUGGAGGCUGGUUCUCUUGAGAGGCAAAGCCACCAAGCUGACACUGAAGAGAGGUACUCCUUAAGGGAAAAUCUAAGUCCAGAGAGACAGCCCGUAACAGAUAGGCUGCCCCUCCGCUCGCCUUGCUGUUUCAUAGACAAAGCUUGUGCUUAUUUUUACAAUGGCCUUUUUGUCCAAAAAAGGCCUCCUGGUUUAGCUGUGUGACGAAAUGCUAUUUGUCCUCUUCAGUGGACCUCUAUUCUCUAGAUUCCCUUCUUGUUUUCUCACUAUCCCACAUGAGAUGCUUGUUAGUAACUGUUACAGGUCUUCUUUACCACUGAGGAAAGACAGAAUCCUACUAGAGGCCAGAAAGAAUGUUCCAGACAUGGAUGGAAGGCCCUCACUCCUGAAGUUUGACUUCAAUACCCCUGAAGGUAGGGAGUGCUCCGGGUCUGCCCCCAGGCUCCAAGGGUGGGUCUCCGAGGGGCUGGAAAAUCCCCCACCAAUCUGGUUAAGAUAAGGAAAGGAUAUGAAUAGAAAGUUACAGAAAUUUAAAGGGUUAAGCUAAGUUGCUGAGAGUUAGUAUAAGUUACAGAGAAAAUAAGGUUGAAAGAAAAAAAAAGAGGUAAAAAGAGCAGGAAGCUAGGGAAGAAGAGACAAAAAGAAGAGGAAGUUAGAGAGCUAAAGAGAGAUAAAAGACAAAAGAGGAACAUAUACUGGCCACAGUAGUUAGGGAACCUAGGAAGACAGUACCUGGCAACAGGAGAGAAUUCCUGGCUAAAGAUUGGUGUGCCUAAUGCAAAAAAAAAAAAAAAAUGCCCCAGAAAGAACAAGAGUGGCCACUGGAGAGUUUCUUGGUCCUAGAGUGCUGGCUAUGAGCAGAGAUAGAAGGGAAGCCCGCUCAGUUGUUUUGUGGAUACAGGGACCCAUUGCUCUGUGCUCCUAUGCCCCAGUGGGCCAAUAUCCAAAGACCUUGGGUACAGGGGGGUACUGGCAACAAACAAUACUUAUGGACUGCCCGAAGAACAGUGGACCUUGGCGUGGGCCAGGUAACCCAAUAGUUCAUGGUCAUCCCUGACUGCUCCUAUCCCUUGCUCAUGAGAAAUUUGCUCUCCAAAAUGGCUUGUGUGGACUGAAAUGGCUGGGUGCUACUAUGUGUAUGCAUAUCUGCAGACUGUGUAUGUGGAGCUUAAGACCUGUCUCAGUGCACCAGUACCUGAUGCUGGGAGAUGUGUGGCUUAGUGCCGAUCUGCCUGGAACACACCAUUCCUGCCUGCCGGGCACUGACAAUUAUCACCCAAUCCAGGAUUUAAACUGUGAUAGAGUGGCUGAUGUUUUGCCUUUGAAUAGAACGUCCCAAAAAUGGGACCACUGGUCAGCUGCCAUGGACUAGAUUCUCCACUAGUUGGGGACAAUCUGGUCACCUUGCUGCCCAAUCCUGACCUGGAGCCACUGCAACAUGAGUGUCAAGCACUGGCAGAAGCCAUUGGGUGGAGAAAAGACCUCUGAGAAUGGCUGAUUGACCCCUGCUGAAAGCCGAGGACCUUGUCCACAGACGGGAACAGUUCUCUUCAUGAAGGUCAGAGAUAAGUGGGUGCUGCCGUGGAGGACAACACAAUGUCAUCUGGAAUGGCUAAACCCUAACCCCCCAGCAUGUCAGCGCCGCAGAUGUCUUUGCCAUCUCUUGGAUGCCCUGAUGAAGCCACCAACUGUGAGUACUAUUCAUUGCCCAGGAUAUCAGGAAGAAAGAGAUUCAGUGACAUGGGGCAGUAACAAAGCAGAUUAAGUGGCUUAUAAAAUGGCUAUACAGGAGUCUAUUCUGGUUACUGGCCUACAAGAGACAGCCAUGGGGAACUGGGAUCGGACUAAAGGGAUGGCCCCACUUAGAAAAUACAAUAGAAGGAAAGGCCCAAAUUGCUUAAAAGAUAAAAAGACAAUGGCACAUUUGAGGGGAAAGCUAUACUCCCCAGAGAACAAAGAAAAGACUCACUUUGCCAAAUACAGAAAGGGACACAUUUAGGACAUAAAAAGUUUGUCCAAGUAGUUAAGGUAUAUAUAAUAGACUUUAAGAUUCUAGCCAGAGAGGCAGUAAAAAAUAUAAGGUAUGUCAGUAAGUGAAUGCUUAGCAAGCAAACAGGGCAAAGAGACCUAGAGAGUUUAGUGAAAAGUCGAAGUGAACUUCACUGAGAUAAAGCCAGGAAAAUAUGAUCACAAGUAUCUCCUAGUGCUUGUAGAUACCUUUUCAGGAAUAGAUAGAAGCUUUCCUCACCAAGCAAGAGACGGCCUCAGUAGUCAUCAAGAAGAUACUGGAAGAAAUCUUCCCCAGGACUGGAGUUCCCAAGGUAAUCUGGUCAGAAAAUGGCCCUACUUUCGUUACCAAGGUAAGCCAGGGUGUGGCCAAGUAUUUAGAGGUCGAUUGGAAAUUACAUUGUAUCUACAGACCUCAAAGUUCAGGACAGGUAGAGUAAAUAGAUAAAACUCUAAAAGAGACCCUGACCAAAUUGACCAUGGAGACUGGCGAAGACUGGGUGGUACUCCUUCCCUCUUGCUCUCUUCAGAGCAAGAAAAACCACUUCCAGAUUCAGCCUAACCCCCUUUGAGGUGUUACAUGGGGCCUCAGCUCUCUGACUGUAUUAGAUGAUGUUACUGAACCAACAUGUCAUAGUAAUAAUGAUUUAUAUGCCAGGCUAAAAGACCUACAGGUGAUACAGAAAGAAAUCUGCUCACAGCUGGGGACCCCUGAGACAUCUCAUCAGUUCCAGGUCGGAGACUCGGCUACAUAUGAUGGCACCGAACCCAGAUACUCGAGCCUCACUGGAAAGGACCAUACCUGGUGCUGCUGACCACCCUGACAGCCGUCAAUUCUCAGGCCUCACCAGCCUCAACUAGCUGUUGAGGCUGAGAGCUGGGACCUAGAGGGACACUCAGCAUGUUUGCCCUGGGUUCCAAUCGGGAUAGGUGUGGGAAUAGGCUUGACUCACACAAAAAGAUAGAGACACUUAACAAGGUUGGUUUGAGUCUAGGUUCACUCGGUCUCCCUGGAUGACUACCCUACUCUCUGCUAUAUGGCUGGGCCAUUACUAAUAAUUUUCUUGGUUUUAGUUUUUGGACCCUGCGUGACAAACAGGUUAAUUGCUUUUGUUAAAAAUUGAGUGGGCGCUGUGUGGUUGAUGGUUCUGAUACAACAGUACCAGUCAGUUAGGACAACUGGUGAGACCAAAUAGGAGACUUGAUAUCAAAAUUCUAAAAUUAGAAUUACUUAGUAGAAGAAGAGGGGAAUGAAAGGAAAAUUGAAAAUUGAAAGACUUCUAAUUGAUGUUAAAUUUUAUGGAUAAUAACAAAUCCACAAUGUCACAAAUCCACUAUUAUAGAAGUUACCACAAUGGUUUCAGCAUUGUAAAAAUUCCUUUCCCUCAACCCACAAAGACUGCCUACCCUCUCCUGCAUGCCUAGAGGCAAUGAUACUUAGAUUCUCUGUAGAUUUACUUCUUUCAAAAUGUUCUUUAAUUUGAGUCAAAUCAUAUGUAACUUUCCUCCAUUGAGGAGUUAGUUAACUAACUCAAAUUAAUUGUUCAUUUCCUUUUGGAAACUGGAUGAUUCAUUAUUAUGAAAUAAUAAUAUAUUUCAAUAAUCAGACAAGACAUAUUUUACUGUGAACUGGAUAUAUGAAGAGGAAAAAGUACAUGAAUGUUCCUAUGAUCAGUUCUUUCUUUAUAUAAUUCUGUAAUAGUAUGUGGCAUUCACUUGUGAUUCACAGCCCCACCUCAGCACAAGGAACAAAGGGCCAAUAUUAGAUUAUUUAUACUCUCUGAAGUCAGAUAAAAUGCCAGAACAUAUUUUCUUUUAUUUGGCAGCUGUUUGUUUUAAAACACUGUAUUUAUUUGAAAAUGGUCAAUUUCCUUUCUUCAUCUGAAUAAAAUACAAUUUUUUUUCUAAUUUAAUUUCUUCAAUUUAAUUAAAUGGUGAGGCUUCUAGUCAUGAGCUAUCAAAAAAAAUUGUGCAGACACUAGUCAAAUUAGCCUUAUGAUUGAACUUUAGCAAUGACUGUCCUAUAACUAAAAAACUUUAGACUUUUUGGUACUAGGAGAAACUCUUGGUUGUCAUGUUUGAUCCUGAACUUUUACCAACUGCUUUUUGCUCUUAUAACUUUGUCCACUGAUGUUAGAAGAAAUUGAUCUUGUUGUAUUCCUAACAUGAAAAAAUGCCCAAAGUACUAUAAAACAUCACUUUGCUCUUUGCUUCCUGUAAAUAGUUCUAAGAAGCAAGUUAAGAAAUGUUGCAGAAAGGGAACACAGGAUAUCUCAUUUGCAUCAUUUCAUAUGUGUCAUAGCCUGCUCACACUGGGUAGCCUGCGAACUGCUAACCAUAGCCCUUUGGGUGGGGAGCCUAGAUCUCAGGAUUCCAAACUGAAGCUCCCUCAAGGCCUGAGCCCCAGGCCAUGGCUGGCCACAUUAAGCAUAUCCUGGUUUUAAACAAGGAACUAGUUCCUUCUCCAAACAUCAGGGCCUCGGGAAAUCCUUGGUUUCCACCAAUUCUGACUGUCCUGAGAUCAUGCAACCAAAAGGAAACCAAAGGCAAUAAGACAAAUUUGUAGUAUCAUUCUAAUCCUUUUAGUGUUUCUAUCUCCAAGUACUGAGACUCAGGUAUGAUUCCCAUAUCUAAUUACUCCCCCAGAUCUUAGAGCCUACAGUGUCUAGGCUCUGGGGCUCAGAAGUAAACUCUGAAGAUCAGAAACCUUAUACGUAGCUAAUCUAAAUUCUGGUCCUCUAUGACUAUACAACUAUGUAGUGAUUUCUACUUUUUAGAGGAACUCCAUUUUCUAUUAUAUUUUACUAUCAUUUAGUAAGUGAAUAUCUCUUGUUAAAGUCUUUAAUUGUAUGGUAACCUUAAGAGUUCUAUACAGGCAUGCCUGGUACUGGACACUAAAACCUAUGAAAUUAUACACAUAAUGGUAUGAACAAAGAGUGUAAGUCACAGCCAGCAAAAUUCCUUAUUAUUUUAUUAAGUGUUAAAAAAAGACAAGAUUUAUAAAAAUUAGACUAUGCCUCUACAAUCUUGCUUUAAUUUACACAUUAAAACUAUGUCCUAAUCAUAUGUCCCAAACUAUGUCCUAUGUUCUAUUGCUGGAAAGAGACCAUGACCAUGGCAACUGUUAUAAAGGAAAGCAUUUAAGUGGGACUGACUUAGAGUUUCAGAGGUUACAUCCAUUGUUGUUAUGCAAGAAAGCAUGCCAGCAUGCAGACAGACAUGGGGAUGGAGAAGUAGAUGAAACUUCUACCUCCAGAUCCUCAGACAAAAGACAUUGGGCCUAGUUUCUGGUUUUUUAAUCUCCAAACUACAUCCCUAGGACAUUUCCUUCUAAAAGGCCACAUAUAGUCCCCAAAGGUCACACCUUGGAAUGCCUCUCAAGUAGUCUAUUUUAUCGUGAUCGAGAAUUCACAUAUAUAAAUGUAAUGGGGUCCAUUCAAACCACCAUAUACUAUUAGAGAAUCCUUCAAAAAAUUCCAAAAUAUCCUUUAAUGAACCCGACACAGGUGAUGCUAGAAUGCUGUCUUCCUCACAAGCUUGGUUUAUUGAGUGGCACACUAUACAGUUGUUAGAUUAAAGCAAUUUUCAGAAAAGUCUGGUUGCCUUAGGUCAGUUGUUAAAGUCCUGCAGCUGCAAAGUAACAAAACACAAAUUUGUCUCAACCAUUCUCAGAGUGACUCAAGACCUUUUCAAAACUUUACGAAGUUCACAAAAACAAAAGCAAAUAUUUUGUGUACUGACUACUAAACUGAAUUGCACAUGAAUGGAAUAAUGUGUGUAUAAGUUAUAUUAGCCUCCCAUACCACAGUAACACCUAGGAUCCCUCUAGCAUUCCUUAUUAGAGAAUAUACUGUUAUGAAAAACCUUAUUAGGCCUGAAAGGCUAGUACCUAUACUGAAAUAGAUUUAUUUUUUUGACAUUUUUACCCAAACAAUAUAAUAUAAUCAUUAUUUAAGUUUUAGUAUAUUUUCAUUAUUAUAGUAUAAUUAUAGUCUUUAAGUUUUAACUUGGUUAUUCAGUUAACACCAUUUCAAACAUUAGGAAAAGGAGCUAAAUAAAUGCAAUGUUACUGAGCCAUGCAACGGAAUAAAUCUUAUUUAAAAAUCUGUAAUUCACUUUGUCACCAGAUCCAGGCAAGGAAAACUACUACAAUGACUUUUCCGUUGUUAUUCCACAACCACUGGGAAUUGUUCGGAUGUUUCUAAUUUGUAUCCACUGUGGAUCUGACAUGCCGCCUGGAGGAACCUGCCAAGUAUGAUGACAUCGAGAAUGUGGUGAAACAGGAAUCUGGGGGUUCACUGAAGGGCAUCCUGUGCUACACUGAGGACCAGAUUGUCUACUGUGACUUCAACAGUGACUCCUACUCUUCCACCUUUGAUGACUGGCAUUUCUCUCAAUGACAACUUUAUAAAGCUCAUUUCCAGGGUCUGCAUCCUUGGGUGCAGACAGCCCCCAAGGCUUCACAGCCCGAAGGCACUGCAGCUCAGUAAGACAGCAGCCAGGCAUCUGGGAGACAUGAUGGAGAUAAGCUGCAACUAUCUUACUGGAUACACUGAAUCUAAGAGAUCAGAAAGUCAGGGAGAGCCUUAAACACAUGGACACAGCAGAAAAUUUCCUGAAAUCAAUACCAAUGGUUUAUGCUCAAAGAUCAACAUGGACAAAUGGGACUUCAUAAAAUUGCAAAGCUUAUAUAAGGAGAAAUACUGACUUGGAAAUUUUUUAUUUGAAUAUCCAGAAAAAGAUGACUGCACUGUUAACUUAAGAAGCACAGACAAUCUCAAAAAUAAGGAACCAAACAAAAAAGUACAUGAACAACAUCACCACCAAUAACAAAAAUCCAGAGUAUUUGCAUCUUUGUGAAAAUUUGUAAUCCCAUACAAGACUCUGAGAUCUGGCUUAUCCUGAACUUGAAUCUCCACACAAAUCCUCCUUUCCAUCACAUCCUAAGAUGGGUUGAACCUCUCUGAGGACAACAUUUUCUUCUAUCUGCAAAUAUAACAUACUAUUUUUAAUAAUGUUGGGAAUUGGUGCCUGCCCAUGGGAUGGGUCUCAAGAUAGGCUGGAUUUUAGUUGACAGCUUCCGGUCUUUGCUCCAUCCCCCAAGCCCACAGUUCUUAUAAAUAGGAUAAAUUUGGGGAGGAUAAAUAGUCAUAAGGGGCAGAUGGAAGGAGGGACCUGGGAGGGAAAAGAAUGGAGAGGAGAAUGGGUGGGUUCAGGAUCAGGUGUGGGGAAGGACAAGACAGAUGGCCAGAUAGCCAUGAAAAUGAAUGGAAAUCUACAACUGACGAAGGUGAGGUGGUGUGUGGGGGCAUCUCCAGGAUGAGACAGAGACCUGGGAUAAGAAAGGCACCCAAGAAUCAAAGGAGGAUAUCUUACCUGUAAUUCCUUUCAUUGGGGGAUAUGGAACUUGAAGAGGCUACCUCCUGUAGGAACCCACUGAAACAGUGGAAGCACCAAACACCCACAAAACUUUCAACUCUCUUCAUCUUCUUAUUGUCAGAUUUGUCCAAUCUCAAAUAGUAAAGUAAUGGUAAAAACAAACUAAAUUAUUACCUCUAUAUUAAAAAUUUAAGACUAAUACGUACAUGUAAUGCUACAUAUACACACAUAUAUAGUUAUUUUACAAAUUCAUGGAAAACACAUAUGUUAUUUUUAAUACAUAAUGUUCAAAAUAAAGAUAUGUUCUACUCUAGAAAUAAUCAGUCAUUCAUUCUAUAAUUUCAUAUGUGUGUGUGUGUGUGUGUGUGUGUGUGUGUGUGUGUGUGAUGGAUUCCUAAAUGUUUAAAUACAACUGUUUAAUUCACAAUGUUUCUUUGUGUUUUCCAGGGUGAUCUCUUUGUGUUGUAUAAUCCAUAGGAUAUUUCCCUGGGAAAGAAUAUUUCUCCUCUCUCAGCAUUCUUUAGCUUGAUCUGACAAGAAUGCCUCCUCUCUGAGGACUGGAUUUUAUGAUACCUCAAGGUGCUUCCAGAUGAGCUUGCAAAGCUAGGACACUAUGAAGCACAACCAACAGCUAGACAUGAUAACCUUGAGGGUGCAGCAUUAAUAUGUAUGUCUUGGUGGUCACCAAACCUCUUUAAUUGGGUUUAAGGCUUCCGCAACAGGAGGGAAACUGCAACUGGUAUUGGAAUCCUAGCCAACCAACUAACCAGGGAUAGUAAACUCAUGGAUCUCAGAGGAGUAGCUACAGUCACUAUACUAAAACUGCAUAAUCCUUAAAUGUAUUCUAAACACUUGAACUUAUAUCAACAGAUACAUGUAGUCCCAAUACUUUAUCAAGAAAACUGCCCUUUGCCAUAGAUGGAUAAUCAUUACCAAAAACCACGACCAACCAAAGUACAGAAUUAUGGACCACAGGCACAAUAGAUACAUGUACAAAACAACUCACAUCUAAGGUUCAGUGAAAUUUUUAAAACAUGUUAUCAGAAAUAUUAUAAGAGAUACAGAUAUUGUGGGUCUGUAUCCAAUUAGAAUCUGGGCAUGGCCUCUUGGGGAGGUGGAACAUGGGCAGUUUUAUUGACUUUAUCCCACCCUCUCCGGGCUGGACCGCUCCAGGGUAAAAAAAGUGCUGUCCGAGAUUUGGGGAAGCCAGAGCUUGUUCAGGGCUCUGCCACAAGGCCAGGGCCAUGGAGUUCUCAGACUCUUGGACAUCCAGGCACCAAUGGGAGCCACAGAAGAGUUGAGAACAGAGUGGGGGUCACAUAAAAUGGGACCGCAUAAAACAGUAAAGGCUGUAUAGCAAAGGACCCCAUCGUGAGAAUGAAGAGGCAUGGGCAACAUCUUUACCAGCGGUACAUCUGACAGAGGGUAGACAUCUGGAAUAUAGAAAGAAUACAAAAAAAUCAUUAAAAAAACCCAGUUAGAAACUGGUUAUUCAAUAACAUAGAGCCAUCCCUGAAAACAUGAACACAUUCAUACAAGCACAUACAGACUUGGUUGGUUGCAUUUAUGUAUUUAUGAUCUCUCUCUGUCUCAUUGGGCGUGUUUUUCUGUGUGUUGUGUAUGUGUGUAUGUCUGUAUGUGUGCAUGCAAGUGUGUGUAUGUGUGUGUGUGUGUGUGUGUGUUUGUGUGUAAUUAUUGACAGAAGAAGAGCCUAUAUUUGUAGAAAAAGGAGGAAGAUUAUACAGUUGGGUGUGGAAGCAGGAAAGGAAACAGGAAAAUGAUAUAUUAUAAUCUCAAAAAAUUAAAUUAAAAUUGAUCAGAAUAUAUUGUAUAAAAUUAAAAGAUAAUUAAUAAAUAUUACUUUAAAAAUUGUGGCAAGGGACUAAAUUGAGAGUUUUCAAAAUAUUUACUAAAAUUGCUAACAGUUUUUAAUUUUUUCAACACUUAUCAAUCAUGGGAAUACAAAUCAACACUUUAAAAUUUAAUCUUACUUCAACCAGAAUGGAUAAGAGAGGAGGAAGGGAAACAUGUUGGUAUAUGUGUAUAUGGGGAAAGAGGCAUAAUUAUUCAGUGCUGAUGGAAAGGACCCAUGCAGCCACCACUAUUGAAAUCAGUAUGAGGAUUCCUCAAAGAAGUAAAAAAAUAUAUAUACCACUUGGUCUAGCUAUAUAAUUCCUGAAUAUCUACUCCAAGAAUCUUAUACCUUACUAAAGAGAGAAGCUCAGCAAUAUUAUCGCUGUUCUAGUCACAAUAUCCAGGAAUGGACAUAGCUUAAAUGACCACUUACUAAGGGAUAGAUAAUAAUAAUGGGGUAUAUUUUCACAAUGGAAAAAAGUGAUUUCUGUCAAGAAGAAUGUAAUUAUGUAUGUAAUUAUGAAAUUAGGAUAAAUGAAUUGAGUUGAAAAAUAUCUGGUAUACCACAUGAGAUAUACCAGAUCCAAAAAGAAAAUGCCACAUGUUUUCUCUCAUAGAGACACUUGUAAAAAAAAAGACAAAAAGAAAAAAGAAGCCAAUAAAGGCCCAUAUUAGUGAAGGAGCUAAAGGAAAAGGAGAUAGAAUUCAGAGGUAUAUUAGAUACAUUAGAGUAAACAAAAAUAAUGGAUCUGGAAUUGUUAGAGGAGUUAGAUGGUAGAAAGGCAGGGCAAAGGAGGAAGAAUGGGGAGGGAUAAAAAAUUCUAAAGGCCGUGUGUGUGUGUGUGUGUGUGUGUGUGUGUGUGUGUACAAAAACUUGAAUGUAGUAACACUAUAAGGCGGUACCAUGCCUGCACAGCGUAAUACACAUCAAGAAGAAAGACAGAAAGAAAGAAAGAAAGAAAGAAAGAAAGAAAGAAAGAAAGAAAGAAAGAAAGAAAGAAAGGAAGGAAGGAAGGAAGGAAGGAAGGAAGGAAGAAAAAAGUAAGUAAGUAAGGAAGGAUGAGAAAUAAAUAAAGAGAGAGGGAGAGAGAGAGAGAGAGAGAGAGAGAGAGAGAGAGAGAGAGAGAAGGAAGAAAACUGUAUUAGGACUGGGAUAUUCACUCUAGAACUAUUAUCACAAGGGUCUCAUAGACAAACAUUAUAGGCUUUGACAUUGCCAUUCAGUGUCCUCCGGAAAGCAAUGGUAAGACCUUGUUGCUGUAAACCUGCAUAGUUGAGUCAUAGAGCAGGAAGAAUCAAGGUGAUAUUGACAUGGAAACUUCCUCCCUACAUGUUACCUUCCAUAACUCUGGAGAAGCCAUGCAAAAAACCACAGGAGAAAGGUGAUCAUCAAUAUUACCUAGCAGAGAAGACCGAAAACUACAAUAACAACUGGCUUUGAAAAAAAAUGUCUAUUGGCACAGUAAUAGAACAAAUGUUAGGGGAGCAACCAUCUAUGUGCUGAUCAGAUUUAAGUUCUAUUCUAUAAAUGAAAUGCAAGCCUAACUGUCAGUGGGCCCAAGAACUUGAGACUAGAUAGGUCAUUGGAGACCCUACUACCAAUGGCUUAUUAACUAGAUUCCUACUGAGUUAGUGCUAUGUCCAUGUAUUAGUGAAUCUCUCAUCCCUCUUCAGAGAAGCUUCUUCUGGCAGUAGAUAAUGACUAACCCAGAGGCCAACAACUGAUUAAGCUGCAGAAAACAAGAAGCUGGAGAGUGGCACAUUUUGAUCAUACCUCUGCCCCCAAGACUUGGGGUUUAUUGAGGAAAUGCAGUCAAUAAGAUGAUAAGAGCCAGAAGCAGUGGAUGAAUCCAAGGAUACAAAUGUUUUUCUGACUAAACAAGAAAUUGCAUAUGUUAAAUUGCAGCUGCUGUGACAAUAUGCACAAAACUUGUGCAAGUCCAAGCCAGACAUGUAAAGAUUUAGGUGAAAGUGGACAUGAAGUCCAACCCCCUAGUUAAGGAGUUAUCACACUCUUUCAGUUGGCCAACACCUAAAUGUAUUUCAGUAACACAAGUUGGUCUCACUGAGCUUACAAAAAAAAAAAAAAAAA